CCCUUAGAUGUUCUGGGCUGCACGCGCGCUACACUGAAGCGUUCAACGAGUAUUCACCUUGCCCGGGAGGGUUGGGUAAUCUUUUGAAAACGCUUCGUGAUGGGGAUAGAUUAUUGCAAUUAUUAAUCUUCAACGAGGAAUUCCUAGUAAGCGCAAGUCAUCAGCUUGCGUUGAUUACGUCCCUGCCCUUUGUACACACCGCCCGUCGCUUGUACCGAUUGGAUGGUCCGGUGAAAUCUUCGGAUAGCUGGUAGUUGGCUUGCCAUCUACUGCUAAAAGUUGCUUAAACCUUNUNAUCUAGNGGAACAAGAANUCGUANCA
rnacentral:rRNA from 1 species